AUUUAUCCGGUGCCGCCUCUCGAAGUAUUUUUUCUCUUUCUUUUCUUUUCUUCUUGUCGCUGCCAUUUGAUGAAGCCAUUUGAGUUCUUCUUCGUUCGCACGUCGAGUCUUCGUUCAUCAUCUCUCCUUUGUUGUAGUCGAAACACUAAGUUGAGUCACACUCUGCAUCUUCGUUCGUACCCUUCGACCGUUUUCUUUUCUGUUUCACAUUCCGGAAAGCGACACCGAGUCGACAUCUUUCUCCACCUCCAAUCUGUCUCUGUUCGUCCUCUGAUCGCCGAUGCUUUUCUAACUAAUUGUCGUCGCACGUUGUUGUCUCGAUUGAUUCUCUUUAAGGACUAUUUGGAAACUCUUGAAGCAACUUAGAUUUGAUCAUCAAGGGUUGAGUUGAAUUCAACAUCGUUUUUGAGUAAGCUAAAUUGGAAAAAAAAUAAGUUGAGACAAAGGUAAUACAAGAGGCAAACCGACGAGGGAUAAGAAGGACUCAUGAACACCAUGUGGGAUUAUCUUUUAAAAUGCUUUUGCUUACCGUUUUAUUGUUUUCUUUGUUUGAAUUCUGCCAAUUGAAAUGAAUUUAUUGUGUAGAAGGAUUGUUUAUUUCAGGGUGACUCAAAACAUAAAUAUUUUGAACUUUCAUUUUGUUUGAAA